AUAGAGUACCUUUUUAUGUUUACUAAUUUUUUUUUUUUUGGAUGAAGAUGUCUAAUAAUGAAAAUGUUGAUUAUGCUGGUGUUGGUGCUGAUGACGGCGGUGGAACUACACGUCGUAAGAAACAAAAACAAAUUAUAUGGGAAGAUGAGCAUGUUGGGGUAUUCUUGGAGCUUCUCGAUAUUGAGUUGGCUAAAAUUAGAUACAGACAAAAGUUACCGAAAGAGGUAGGAAGAGAGCGUAUUUGUAAAGAGUUUUUGGAGAAAACUGGUAUAAGCCUUUCUUGGGAGCCUUUCAAAAGCAAAUACGAUAUAUUGAGAAAUAUGUAUGGAUCGUAAUUUUACUGGAGUUUCAGCAGAUGACAAUACCGGUUUGAUUGAGAUGGAUUCUGAAUGGUGGGACGAUCGCGAAAAGGUACAUUAGUGUACAUAGUUGAUAUUUAAAAAUCAAUUAACAAACCUUGUUACUGAUAUUUAAAAAUCAAUUAACAAACCUUGUUAUUGGAUUUUUUAAUUUAAAGGUCAUGUUAUUAUUAUUGUUAUUUCAUUUUUUAUUAUUAUUUAUAUUAGAAUAAAUAUUAUUAUUUGAUUAUAAUAUUUAGAAAUAAUAUAUAUUGAAAAUUAUUUUUCAAAUUUAAUACUCAUUUAAAACAUUUUUAAAUAUUUAAUGGUUUAUUUGUUUUUAAUAAAUAUAUCACUAUUAAUAUGUUUAUAUAUUCAUUUAUUUUAUUAAGAAAUUCAUACUACAACUUAUACAUCAAAAAAGUUACCAGUCAAUAGUUUUUAAAAAAUGAUUACUUUUAUUUUUACUGCGAACUUACCACAUAAACUUACAGUUUAUACCACAUAAAUUUUUACUGCAAGUUAUAUCGAAUUACAAAUCAUACUGCAACUCGGCUUUAAUACUACAUUGAAAAGAUAACAAACUGAAAUAAAUAUAACAGUUACUACUACUACAAAAGUUCACUGAUUGUAGCAGUUUUAUUGUAUAAAACAAAAUAAGGGUAUAUUCGUUGUGCUACACUUUGACGAUGAAAAAUAUUUGUGUUAUUUCAAUUUUGUCACUUUUUGUUUUCAUUACUUAAGAAAUAAAAAGAAAAUAUUUUAUCAAUAAAAAAGAAAAGAAAUAAAAAAAGAA